CUUGUACACACCGCCCGUCACACCAUGGGAGCGGGUUCUGCCAGAAGUAGUUAGCCUAACCGCAAGGAGGGCGAUUACCACGGCAGGGUCGUGACUGGGGUG
rnacentral:rRNA from 1 species